UUAUAUUGCACCACAAUCACAUGUAUUCAAAUAUAUUUUAUUAAAGCUACCAAAAAUUCCUAUAACUUUUUAUGUGCUGCAUAAAUACAGGAUGCGUGGUGGUCUUCAAUACAUCACCUGCUUUUAUUUUACCGCAAAAAUUUCCAUAGAAGGUCUGGAAAGUUUUGGAGUUGCGCUGUGUGCAUCGUAUCAUGCUCUGCGGCAUCGGGGGCAGCCGCAUCCGGGGGUACAGCUCCACCAGAGCAGACUGUGCUAGCCAGGAGACUAAAAACCCUCCCAAGGAGUUGUGGAACUAAAAGUAGACAGUGCCAGAUGGAAAAUGAAGGCGACUCCAUGCCCCCCUCCAUCUGCUUCUAGUCAUCUCGAGGACAACAUGGCAAAACGGCCUGCUGCUGGUUGAGGUAAGAGUUAGAUAUCGGGAAAAGAAAACGUCUGUGGUUCUCCUGUAGGUGACAAAAUUACACGCCUGCAGGAGUUUUGAAGGUAGAAGUGUGAUGUAUGAGUUAGCCCUGCUUCUGGCUCGAGCCAGGUAUGGAGCACCACAAGAGUGCAGCCCCAGGCCCCACGGGUGAGGGAUGCGAUGGUCCCGUGAGGCCCAGGCAAACCCAGAGGUGACCGCAGGCCUCAGUGAGGGUGGCUGUCCCACUGCUAGCUCUUGACAGCUACCAGCUGCCUCUACAUGCAGGCAUGGAGCCCCCAAGGGAUGGGCUGUGGGGUUCAGAAGUUCUCAGUGUAUAUUUAGGCAGCUCCCUGAGCCAGUUCAUCAGGUAUUCUCAUGAACACAAGCGGAGGCAGCGCAGGGCCCUGCUGGAGGACACAGGAGGCGAGGCAAGCACCGCCGCUGGGAGAUGCAGGUGGCCGUGCCCUUGGACACGCUGCAGCUGACCUCUCCCUGAGGUUUCAGCCGAGUGACUUCCAGGAUCAGCUUCGUGCCAUGAAACUCUACUCCAGAAUCUGAUAUUUUCAUUUUAUAGCAAUUCACAGCCAGCCUCUCACAAGGCAAAAGCAACCUAAAAACUCAAUACAAGGCAUAAGCUGCCCCACGCCGUUCUGACAGUUGCAGCCCCAGCUUUGAGAGGCACAAACUGCUUCAUCCACUUCCAUCAGCGCUCAGUGAAUGCAACAAUUCUGUGUAAUUCUUGCAGUGCAAUUAAUCAUUUUGCUGCAGCACAGUGACUGGCAUUUUCUUUUUACCUUCUUCCACCACCUGCCUGCUGUUGGGUGCUGCUGCUGCUCCAUCCUGGACCUGCUGAUCCUACCCAGGAAUGAACUGGAGUUUUCUGCUUGCCCAUGACAGUAGGGUCCCGUAGCCAUUAUGCAGAGAUGAUGACAAAAGUGUCCCUUGGUCCCUGCAUGGUGGCUGCAGAUCUGGAUGGUGGAUGAGCUGCUUCUGCUCAACAGCUGCUCCACAGGAGGGAGCAGUUCCCAUGAAUUUCUUAGCCAUUUCCAUGAAUUUUAAAAGCAUUGAGUCCUUUCAACACUGAGUCACAGCUGUCUGUGUUUGGAUGCAGGAAGAAGGAGUCAGGAAUUAAAAAGCAUUUCAUGGAGACUGAAUUUGCCACUGAUUUUUUUUUGUCUGCAUUCACUGAUGUAUCUGGAUAAUUGAAGAGAAGCCUAAGUGGUUCAUAAACAGAUAAGAGACAAACAGUCCUUUUCCCAGCACACGGUUAUGUAGAAUGUCUCUGUGUUGUCUGAUCCCAAUGUUAAAGAAGACAUCUGCUUUGCAAAACUGGAACCUGCUGCUUUUCUUUCCUGCUCAAACUCCCUUUUUUUUUCCGAACAUCUCUUCUGAAUUUUGCAGGCUUUAUGAUUUUAAGGCCUGACACUAAUCCCUGAUCUCUUUGCAUGGAUGUGGGGAAAUUAUGCUCUCUCAGAUCUCAGAACCCUGCAGAGAGCUUAGAGAAAAGCGGCGAUAUAGACAAUUUUUUAUUCUUUUGUUAGCCCCAAAUAAAGUCUAUUCCACACAGUGUCUUUAACA
ensembl:lncRNA